rnacentral:lncRNA from 1 species
CAUGGGGCGCUAUACUAAAAUCACUAUCUAGUAGUGGUAUGGGGGAGGUGGUGAUGCAUAGACAUAGUGUGGAGGAGGUGGAGAUGGAUACUUGUAUGGUUUCUUAGGUGGUGGUGGAGGUGACUUGUAGUAGUAAGCUGGGGGUGGUGGAGAAGGGUACUUGUAUGGUGGAGGUGGAGGAGAAGAGUACUUGUAUGGAGGAGGAGGGGACUUGUACUUGUAUACUGGGGGUGGAGGAGAUGGGUAUUUGUAGGGUUUCUUAGGAGGUGGUGGAGGAGAAGGGUACUUGUAGGGUGGGGGUGGUGACUUGUAUUUGUAAACUGGUGGUGGUGGUGAUGGGUAUUUGUAGGGCUUCUUAGGUGGUGGUGGUGGGGACUUGUACUUGUAAACUGGUGGUGGUGGUGACUUGUAUUUGUAAACUGGAGGUGGGGGUGAUGGGUAUUUGUAGGGCUUUUUAGGUGGUGGUGGAGGAGAAGGGUACUUGUAGGGUGGUGGUGGUGACUUGUAUUUGUAAACUGGUGGUGGUGGUGAUGGGUAUUUGUAAGGCUUCUUAGGAGGUGGUGGAGGAGAUGAAUACUUGUAGGGUGGUGGUGGGGACUUGUACUUGUAAACUGGUGGUGGUGGAGAUGAAUAGUCGUACUUGUCAGCUGAGGCUUGAGAUGACAAGCUUAGAGAAACUAUUGCCAAUACAAGAGUGAGAGUAAGAGAGGCCAUUAGAGACCCCAUUUUCUCCCAACUUCAAAUAGGGUUU